rnacentral:rRNA from 1 species
CAAUAGCGUAUAUUAAAGUUGUUGCAGUUAAAAAGCUCGUAGUUGGAUUUUGAGUUUGGUAAAGUCGGUCUGCUUUUUGCAGUACUGACUUGCCUGCUCUUCUUCUCGAGGCCUAUGGAUGUACUUAACCGUAUGUUCAUAGUGUUCGGGACUUUUACCGUGAGAAAAUUAGAGUGUUCAUAGCAGGCUUUUGCUUGAAUAUUGCAGCAUGGAAUAAUGGAAUAGGAUCAUGAUCUUAUUUUGUUGGUUUCUAAGAUCAAGACAAUGAUUAAUAGGGAUAGUUGGGGGCAUUAAUAUUUAGUUGUCAGAGGUGAAAUUCUUAGAUUUACAAAAGAUUAACUUCUGCGAAAGCAUUUGCCAAGGAUGUUUUCGUUAA